rnacentral:rRNA from 1 species
AGAGUUUGAUCCUGGCUCAGGAUGAACGCUGGCGGCAUGCCUAAUACAUGCAAGUCGAACGGAGAAGGAAGGUGCUUGCAUCUUCCGGAUCAGUGGCGAACGGGUGAGUAACACGUAGGUAACCUGCCCAUGUACCCGGGACAACGGUUGGAAACGACUGCUAAAACCGGAUAGGCAUAUGGAAGGCAUCUUCGAUAUGUUAAAGGGGCCACGGCCCUGGACAUGGAUGGACCUGCGGUGCAUUAGCCAGUUGGUGAGGUAACGGCCCACCAAGGCGACGAUGCAUAGCCGACCUGAGAGGGCGAACGGCCACAUUGGGACUGAGACACGGCCCAAACUCCUACGGGAGGCAGCAGUAGGGAAUUUUCGUCAAUGGGGGGAACCCUGAACGAGCAAUGCCGCGUGAGUGAAGACGGUCUUCGGAUUGUAAAGCUCUGUUGCGAGAGAAAAAGGACAGGAAGAGGGAAUGCUUCCGGUUUGAUGGUAUCUCGCCAGAAAGUCACGGCUAACUACGUGCCAGCAGCCGCGGUAAUACGUAGGUGGCGAGCGUUAUCCGGAAUGAUUGGGCGUAAAGGGUACGUAGGCGGCCAGAUAAGUCUGGUGUGAAAGGCUGCAGCUCAACUGCAGCACUGCACUGGAAACUGUCCGGCUGGAGUGCAGAAGAGGGCGAUGGAACUCCAUGUGUAGCGGUAAAAUGCGUAGAUAUAUGGAAGAACACCGGUGGCGAAGGCGGUCGCCUGGUCUGCAACUGACGCUGAAGUACGAAAGCGUGGGGAGCAAAUAGGAUUAGAUACCCUAGUAGUCCACGCCGUAAACGAUGAGAACUAGGUGUUGGGGGAAUAACUCAGUGCCGCAGUCAACGCAAUAAGUUCUCCGCCUGGGGAGUAUGCACGCAAGUGUGAAACUCAAAGGAAUUGACGGGGGCCCGCACAAGCGGUGGAGUAUGUGGUUUAAUUCGAAGCAACGCGAAGAACCUUACCAGGCCUUGACAUCCCCUGCAAAGAUGCAGAGAUGUAUCGGAGGCUAUCAGGGAGACAGGUGGUGCAUGGUUGUCGUCAGCUCGUGUCGUGAGAUGUUGGGUUAAG